AGAACAAGAGCUGCUCAGGCUAGCCAAGGAGACUGCCUGUGAGAUCGACCACAUGCAGAGGCAGAACAAUGCAUUUCUGAAGCUAGUGAUCUCCUGCAGCCUGUUGGAGGCCACAGGCAAGUCAUCCUUGGCUACCAGAUGCGACCUCUCAUCG
rfam:Oryza brachyantha chromosome 2, whole genome shotgun sequence.